rnacentral:lncRNA from 1 species
CAAGCGCCGCCUCCCUAGCAACGCUGGGCAAGCGCGGGACCCUCUCCUGGCUACGACCUCUAAGAGUACUCGGGCCUCGCUGAUGCCUGACGGAGAGCCCUUGGCUUUUGUUGACUUGUUGACCUUUGCUACUGCGAUCUGGUCUUUCUGCGGGGAUAAAGUUCCUCAUUCUGUUGCUUGUCAUUGGGGUUGCCAUCACUCGUUCAGACGGCCGAUUGGCUGACGGUCCCGUCAAUCUCCGGGGACAUGACUAGCCUCAGACACCUCAGAAAAUUGUUCGUUGGUACCCCUACGUGCUGAAAUGAAGAGUUCUGGAGAGAAUCUGAGGGAUUUGAGGAAUUUCAGAUGUUGGGGAUUUUUUCCCCCGCACAGGGAGCGGUAUUCUGCCCUGUCUACACAUUAGAAUCACUUGGCCUGGACAAAAGCUUUUUUAAAAAAGCGUUCCCCUCAUCUCCUCCCCCCAAACCCCGCAUUUCCAUCCACUAGAUUCUAAUGCGUAAGCAGGAGUGACAACUACUGCCCUUGUGCUUUUUUGGGAACAAGAAAUUGUCCAGGGAAAAGAUAAACGCCAAUCAGUCUCUGAUCUCAGUACUAGUCUAUUUUAAGCUAAUUAAGCAUUGAUUUUUUUUUUUAAGUUUAUGACAAACUGCUAUUUUCCAUUCAGUUAAACUAAAUGCGUUUUAAUGAUAGGACGGUAAUUAAUCUAACCUAUUAAUGAAAAGCUGUAUGUCUCGCAGAACUAUGAUAAACUACCUAAUGACGUCAGCUAAGGGUCUAGAAAUGGAAGAAUGAUCGCUAUAUCUUUUUUAAAAAAUAGAAUUUAGGCAUCUUGGGAAAAAAAGAAGCUAAUCUACACUGGAUUUCUGUUAGUGUGAAGACUUUUGUCCCUGUACCUGCUAGGGCUUACCUGUAAAUGAAGUAAGAUGGUCAACACCAGGGAAACAAGUGUUCCUGGUGCCUGGCAGUGGAACACCUUGACUAUCUUGGAAAGAAUUAACUGGCCCCAAGUGGACUUCACAUUUCAUUCCGUGAAGUGGGAGCCUGAGAACAUAUUUUCUGUGUGAGGCUGAAACUGUUGGAGGCUUCCUGAGAUCAUUCUUGAGAAUGGAGCGACCACAUAGGGGUCUACUCUUCCAUAUUACUGUUACUGUGCAACUAGAAACCCACCUGGCCUUGGAGGAGAAAGAACAGCAUCACUGAAAUGCUUGCAUCAGGCGUUGGGGAUGGGGGUACAGCAUGUAAUUACAAAGGUAAGAUUUGGAAUUUCCAUUUCCAGAAGCAUGGCAUGACCAUCAUUCAGAAAGCAAGCUGAGGACUAAAACUGGAUUUCAGCUGAGGGCAUUUGUCAAACUAGGUAAAGGAGAAUUUAGGUUUUCAUGGCCUUGGUAGGCAAGCAGAACAGGAGACAAAGCCCAGGGACUAUUAUGAUUGGGUGCAUAUUAGAGACCCCUCCCCAUACAAGCAAGGUGGAAACAACUACUUCCAACUGAAAGAAAAUUGCCUGUCUCAAACUUUGGUAUAAAUAUUUUUGCUGACUGGUACAGAAUUCUAGAAGGCACUUAAAAAGAAUUUCCAGAAAUGUGGAAAAAUAAAAGAAGGGCACAAAGAGGCCAUGGGCAGUGCCUAUGAUCUCAUUUUUACUUUUAAAACUUAAAAAAUGCAAUAAAUCUUUUCCUGACCCUGGGUAAUUGUGCUUAUUUAGUACAAAUCUGAGUACAGAUUUUGGGGCAACAGUACCUAAUUAGGCACACCCAGGCACACCCUAACUUACCCUUGGAGCUUACAGGAAUUCCAAGAAAAUCCACAUGGGUAGAGAUUGAGCGUCUUUCCCAAUGGGCAGUCAAGAUGAUGAGAUGGAUCACUAAAUUCUAAAGAAUCCAUGUCAUGCUGUAUACACACAGCAAGGAGGGCCUUAAUAUUAGCAAAACAACAUCAAGUGUCUCACAUUAAAUAAAUGUUGUUAACUUUAAGCUUA